AGAGUUUGAUCCUGGCUCAGGAUAAACGCUGGCGGCGCACAUAAGACAUGCAAGUCGAACGAACUUAACCAUUAGUUUACUAUUGGAGCGGUUAGUGGCGGACUGGUGAGUAACACGUAAGCAACCUGCCUAUCAGAGGGGAACAACAGUUAGAAAUGACUGCUAAUACCGCAUAUGCCUUGAGUAUCACAUGGUACAAAAGGGAAAGGAGCAAUCCGCUGAUAGAUGGGCUUGCGUCUGAUUAGAUAGUUGGUGAGGUAACGGCCCACCAAGUCGACGAUCAGUAGCCGGACUGAGAGGUUGAACGGCCACAUUGGGACUGAGAUACGGCCCAGACUCCUACGGGAGGCAGCAGUCGGGAAUAUUGCGCAAUGGAGGAAACUCUGACGCAGUGACGCCGCGUGCAGGAAGAAGGUUUUCGGAUUGUAAACUGCUUUAGACAGGGAAGAAAAAAGACAGUACCUGUAGAAUAAGCUCCGGCUAACUACGUGCCAGCAGCCGCGGUAAUACGUAGGGAGCAAGCGUUAUCCGGAUUUAUUGGGUGUAAAGGGUGCGUAGACGGGAAAAUAAGUUAGUUGUGAAAUCCCCAUGCUUAACAUGGGAACUGCAACUAAAACUGUUUUUCUUGAGUGCUGGAGAGGAAAGUGGAAUUCCUAGUGUAGCGGUGAAAUGCGUAGAUAUUAGGAGGAACACCAGUGGCGAAGGCGACUUUCUGGACAGUAACUGACGUUGAGGCACGAAAGUGUGGGGAGCAAACAGGAUUAGAUACCCUGGUAGUCCACACCGUAAACGAUGGAUACUAGGUGUAGGGUGUGAUAAACGCUCUGUGCCGUCGCAAACGCAGUAAGUAUCCCACCUGGGGAGUACGGCCGCAAGGUUGAAACUCAAAGGAAUUGACGGGGGCCCGCACAAGCAGUGGAGUAUGUGGUUUAAUUCGACGCAACGC
rnacentral:rRNA from 1 species